rnacentral:lncRNA from 1 species
AAACACCACACAGUUCCAGCUCCCGCAGCCACUCCAGCCGCUGCAGCUGCUCCAGCUCCUGCAGCCAUUCCCACUCCUGUGGCUGGGUCAGAGAAACGAGCUGUAGCAGUGCAAGUUGCCCCUGCAGAGGGUAUUCCAACCCCUGUGGCAGACCCUGUGGCUGGGUCAGAGAAACGAGCUGUAGCAGUGCAAGUUGCCCCUGUAGACAAGGUGAAAAAAUGGUAUAGAGACUCAGGUCGUUUAGAACGCAGACAGUCUUCUGCUAGGUCUAGGUAUAGAGAAGACAAGGCUGGGCCAUCAAAUGUGCAGGAGGAUGAAGAUGAGGAUGAGGAUGUCGAAAAAUCAACAGUAACUACCCGAACCCUAUACCAGCGUGAGCUACGAGAUGUGCGAAAAGAUUUUGGUCGCUGCAUAGGUGAGCAACUUGUCACCUGGCUGCUCCGGUGCUGGGACACCGGAGCCAAUUGUGUGGAAUUAGAGGGCAGGGAAGCCAGGCGGCUGGGAUCCCUUGCUAAAGGGACAGGCAUUGACAAAGCAAUUGGAGAUGGAGCACAAUCUCACAGCCUCUGGAGGCGUCUCCUGUCAGCUGUGAAGGAAAGGUAUCCCUUCAAGGCAGAACUUGUACGUCUACCAGGCAAGUGGACCACCAUGGAGAAGGGAAUUCAGUACCUGAGGGAAUUGGCCGUACGGGAAGUAAUUUAUAAGGACCUAGACGACGCACAAAUAUCCACGGAUCCAGAUGAAGUCAAGUGUACACGACCCAUGUGGCGGAAGUUUGUACGGAGUGCACCAUCAUCAUAUGCCAGCUCAUUGGCAAUAAUGGCCUGGAAAGAGGAUGAGGAACCCACAGUGGAUGAAGUGGCUAAACAGCUCCAGCAGUACAAAGAAAGUCUCUCCUCUUCCCUACAGGCCUGCGUCUCGGCUGUGGAGAAACUCUCUGAAGAGUUCCACCAACUUAAAGAGAAUUAAUCUUCCCCUCAACCUGAAUGAACCAGUGCCCACCAACUAAAAGACAAU